ensembl:lncRNA LUCAT1 lung cancer associated transcript 1
GUGUCAUAUCAGAGAUUGCCACAGACACCCAGGGCAAUGUGAUUUGUCACUUAAAGAGGACGGCAGAUCAAGAGCAUCUCAUCCUCCGGCUGCUGAGUCAUCCUGCUCUGGCAGUUAUUUAAACAGAAGGCUCCAGGAGACAUACAAUCAACACUCCACUCAGACAAUGCCCAGACCUCCAGAAACCAUGUGUCAAGCUCGGAUUGCCUUAGACAGGUGCAAUUUAAGAACAGCUUUCAUCCUCUUUUCUCUCAUAUUGUCACACUAUGUGUUCUGACUUCUGGCUCCUUUCCUCACAAGAAGCUCACCCAGCUGGAACUCUUAUGGGACCUUGGCACCAGAGACCACAAAUUCCUCUUUGAAGUUUUCUAACAGCAACAAUGGUAUUUCUGACUUGGCUUUCUUGUAUUUCUCUCACGUUAACAAAAUUGGUUCAGCAUCUACCAUGGGCUACAUGCUGAGGCAGGAGAAUAGCUUAAACCUGGGAGGAAGAGGUUGCAGUGAGCCGAGAUUGCUCAAUUGCACCCCAGCCUGGGUGACAGAGCAAAACUCCAUCUCAAAAACAAACAAACGAACAAACCUGAUAUUUUCAAAAUUGAGGCAAUUAUAACAGCUAUUUAGCCAAGCAUUAUGAUAGCAAUAAUAGCAAGAAAAUAAAUUAGUUAACAAAUGAGUCUCAGAAGCCCAAUGAUUUUUAUUUUAUUUUUAUUUUUUGAACUUUUAUUUUAGAAUCAGGGGAUACAUGUGCAGGUUUGUUACCCGGGUAUAUUGCAUGAUGCUGAGUUUUGGAGUAUGCAUGAAUCCAACCUGUCAUCCAGGUAGUGAGUAUAGUACCCAACAGAUAGUUUUUUUAACAUUUACUUCACUCCCUUCCCCAAUCUUGUAUUCCCCUGUGUCUACUGUUCCCAUUUUUAUGACUGUGCCAACAAUAAUUUUUUUUCUUUUUUCUUUAAAUAGAGAUGGGGGUCUCUAUUUAAAGAGCCUCCCAAAGUGCUAGGAUUACAGGUGUGAUCCAUUGCACCUGGCCCAUGCCAACAAUAUUUGAAACCCUUAUCUGCGUGUACAAGUUUGCUACUGGUUUUGUUUUGCUCAUUAAUACAUCCCAAGCAUCUAUACCUGGCUUGUAGUACCAGCAUGUAGUAGGUGCUUAAUAAAUAUUUAUUGAAUAAAUAAAUUAGUUUGACAUUAGUUUAACAUCUCAAGUAAAACAAAAUACCAUUCAAUUAA